rnacentral:rRNA from 1 species
GGCAAUGGACGAAAGUCUGACCGAGCAACGCCGCGUGAGUGAAGAAGUUUUCGGAUCGUAAAGCUCUGUCGUAAGUCAAGAACGUGUGAGAGUGGAAAGUUCACACAGUGACGGUAGCUUACCAGAAAGGGACGGCUAACUACGUGCCAGCAGCCGCGGUAAUACGUUAGGUCCCGAGCGUUGUCCGGAUUUAUUGGGCGUAAAGGGAGCGCAGGCGGUCAGGAAAGUCUGGAGUAAAAGGCUAUGGCUCAACCAUAGUGUGCUCUGGAAACUGUCUGACUUGAGUGCAGAAGGGGAGAGUGGAAUUCCAUGUGUAGCGGUGAAAUGCGUAGAUAUAUGGAGGAACACCAGUGGCGAAAGCGGCUCUCUGGUCUGUCACUGACGCUGAGGCUCGAAAGCGUGGGUAGCGAACAGGAUUAGAUACCCUGGUAGUCCACGCCGUAAACGAUGAGUGCUAGGUGUUAGGCCCUUUCCGGGCUUAGUGCCGAGCUAAGCAAUAGCACUCGCCUGGGAGUACGACCGCAAGGUUGAAACUCAAAGGAAUUGACGGGGGCCCGCACAAGCGGUGGAGCAUGUGGUUUAAUUCGAAGCA